UAGAAGCACGGCACCGUGUUCUUUGUGGAGGUAUAGCGAACGCGCAUUCCUUUCUUUCUUUUUUGGUUCGCGACGGCCGAGUGGCGAUAUCCUAUUACAUCCGGAACGAGGACCUAUCGCUUUGCGAUCGCAUACAAGAGUGAGCCAUCUUUUGACGAUGGUAGGAUAAUUAUUGACCUGAGGAAUAAUAUGGAUUUAUGUGGUUGUGGUGGACUUUGUGUUUGUGACUGUGAAAAUGUGAGUGUGCGUCUGUGUAUGUGUGCGCGCGGGCGCGCGCGCUUUCCUGAACCAGGGAUCCCACUUGACAAGUUGACCAAAGGAGCAUUAGUGGAAAAAAACAGGGUAGCCCUGAGACAAUAGGAUGCCGUCACGACCAAUGAGACUGGCCUGCAGGGGGCGCAAGGAUUCACUUCUCUCUUGGACACUGGCGGGUGUAGACACGGUAAUUAUGAUCCUGGCGUUGGCCGUCAGUGGAAGAGCGUAGCUUAGGUGGGGUUCUGUCUGCCUCUGAUGGGGUGUGGAUGUAUGGUUCGUCACUGGUGAAUGGUGUUCGACGAUGCAGGUGGAUUUUGUGACGAGCGGAUUUACAAUGAGGGAAUGCUGUGAACGGGAAAAAUGAUGGUGAGUGCCUUUUUCACUCUGUUCAAGUGUUCGUUUUCCUCUGUUGCCCAACAGUCGUGCGAAUUUGAUUUGUCCUGACGUGUCCUGACAUGCCCCGAUAUGCAUGCUUUCCUUUGUUAACGCUUUGUAUUUUGUCUUUUUUUGACAAGGAACAUUGUCGUCUUGACGAUAGUGCUGCCCUGAGUUCUGCGUGCGUUGAUUUGUUGAGUGCCUAGUCCUCUUAUUUGUCGUUGAUGGAGUUACGUGUUAGGAUAUUUUGGUCUUUUGCAAGUCUCAUUUAGUAAGACUUUGGAAUUCCUACGAUCAGCUUUCAUGCAUGGUGCUCUUCUGCAAUAGUUUCCUAUUCAAUCGUUAUAGAAGAAUAAAGGAAAUAAUCAUGGGAUAGUGAUUCAAUAAAUAAUAGGUCCCCUGUCUAGAGCGCACGCGUCCUUGAGCCACGCAGGUGCAUGAUGACGUCAUACCGUGGCUUCACUGCAGAUUGACCAAAGGAGCAUUAGUGGAAAAAAACAGUGUAGCCCUGAGACAAUAGGAUGAUGUCUGGACCAAUGAGAACUGCCAGCAGGGGGCGCAGGAAUGCUCUUCUCACUUAGCCUCACGACCAAUGAGAAUGGCCAGCAGGGGGCGCAGGAAUGCUCUUCUCUCUUAGCCUCUCGCAGGUGGCGGUAGGAGCGCGCAGAGGGCGCUACGAGCGCGCGCAUGCGUAGCACCCGUAGAGUGGCGCUUACGACAGUCCACCUCUGGCUCUCGUUGGGAGAAGACGUGCGGUCGUUCGCUCCGUCGUCACUUGAUCCCUGGCUGUCGACGAGAGCAGUCGCAUCGGUCUGCGCUCCUACUGUGAGCUGUCCUAACUUGCCCAGACAUGCCAUGAUGACGUCACAGCUGACGUCACAGGAUGUCCGGAACUGGUGGUCAUAGCUGCGAUGCUUUGCAACCUGCCUCCGUGCUCCGUCGCCCAGCGACAGUCAGCGGCCGUUCCGGACGGCUUCCUUCAAGAUGGCGUCGUUGAUCUUCAACGAAACUCCUUCUCUCCACUCUAUCUCUAUCUAUUUUUUUUAUUUUUAUCAGCUCAACUAGCCCACAACUCACACAGUGGUCUGGACACGUCCUAGAUGCUCCCCAAUUAGUGUAAUGACUCCCUGAAUUAUCCUGAUUAAUGUGGGGGGUCCCAAUUAGCUCUAAUUGCUCAUUAAUGGCGUCCAGACGAAGAUGUGAGUUGUGGGCCAGUUGAGCUGAUACUUUACUACUAAUUUCCCUCUUUGGCUUGGCUUAAAGAAGCUUGACCCGGUACGCUUUCACCGCUUCCUUGGCGUGGUAAUCGACUCGGACUUGCGCUGGGCUCGGCACAUUAAACAUCUUGAAACUAAAGUGCAGCGAUGGCUCCCAGCAAUUCAACAUCUUUCUGGCUCAGGAUGGGGCUGUGAUCAGCGUUCCCUGCUCAAGGUUCACGCGGCAUUGGUGAGGGCAACUGUGCUUUACAGCCUUCCUAUUCUGCACAGGAUAUCAACAACUUCAUUAAAUACACUUCGGUCCCUGUUUGCUCGAAGCCUUCGUCGAUGCCUCGGAGUUCCCAGAAUGGCUGAAACACGGCAAGUACUGGCUGAAGCUGGUGAGCUCCCGAUUGAAGUUCUCCGUGAACGGGAAACGGCUCAGCACUACCUCCGUUUGCGUGCUCACAUUCCCCGCCACCCGCUACUCAGGAAAAUUCGAUACCGCCCUGAAAGCGACUUCUAUCGAGUAGCGAAGAGGACACGCCAGACUCUCACUGGCUUCAUAACUAAGGACACUAUACCGCCGGAAGCCCCCUGGUCUCUACCGGUACCGCCAACUUUUGUACGCCUCCCAAACCUUCUGGAAAGAAGAGAUCAGGUCCCCCCUCAAGUCCUCCGAGCCCAUUUUCAUGCUCUGGUAGACGCAAAGUUUUCUACGUUUACGGCAGCAUAUACUGAUGGCGCAUCCCUAAACAACAAGUCCGCCUCAGCCUUCGUCAUUCCAUCCGAAGGCGUCGUGCACGGAAGACGCCUCUCACAUCCAACCUCCUCCACAGCUGCGGAACUCUAUGCCACUCUUUUCUUUCUACAACACAUCGCUGAUUUUCCACCCCGGGAAUGGGCAGUCUUUACAGACUCCAAAUCUGCCCUUCAAGCAAUUGAAAAUUCCGGCAUACGAGGCCCAUCCGCACCCCUAGUCACAGACGUGCUAAUGGCUUACCACACUAUCUACGCCGCAGGCCACAGGCUAGUUCUCCAGUGGGUUCCAGCCCACUGUGGUGUCGUGGGGAACGAGGAGGC